GUGUUAUCAAGAGUUCCCUUCAAGCACUUCACGUUACGUUGUAUUAGCGAUAGCCUGAUACCAAUGUGAAGUGUUUGGAGGAACUCUUGGUACCAA
rnacentral:pre_miRNA from 1 species